rnacentral:rRNA from 1 species
AACGAACGCUGGCGGCAGGCUUAACACAUGCAAGUCGAGCGCCCCGCAAGGGGAGCGGCAGACGGGUGAGUAACGCGUGGGAAUCUACCCAUCUCUACGGAAUAACGCAUGGAAACGUGUGCUAAUACCGUAUACGUCCUUCGGGAGAAAGAUUUAUCGGAGAUGGAUGAGCCCGCGUUGGAUUAGCUAGUUGGUGGGGUAAAGGCCUACCAAGGCGACGAUCCAUAGCUGGUCUGGGAGGAUGAUCAGCCACACUGGGACUGAGACACUGCCCAGACUCCUACGGGAGGCAGCAGUGGGGAAUACUGGACAAUGGGCGCAAGCCUGAUCCAGCCAUGCCGCGUGAGUGAUGAAGGCCCUAGGGUUGUAAAGCUCUUUCACCGGUGAAGAUAAUGACGGUAACCGGAGAAGAAGCCCCGGCUAACUUCGUGCCAGCCGCCGCCGUAAUAC